UGGGGAAUCUUGCGCAAUGGCCGCAAGGCUGACGCAGCGACGCCGCGUGUGGGAUGACGGCCUUCGGGUUGUAAACCACUGUCGGGAGGAACGAAUCCGCGAUGAUGAAUCGCGGGUGACGGUACCUCCAAAGGAAGCCCCGGCUAACUCCGUGCCAGCAGCCGCGGUAAUACGGAGGGUGCGAGCGUUGUCCGGAAUCACUGGGCGUAAAGGGCGCGUAGGCGGCCCGUUAAGUGGCUGGUGAAAUCCCGCGGCUCAACUGCGGGGCUGCCGGUCAGACUGGCGAGCUAGAGCACGGUAGGGGCAGAUGGAAUUCCCGGUGUAGCGGUGGAAUGCGUAGAGAUCGGGAAGAAUACCAGUGGCGAAGGCGUUCUGCUGGGCCGUUGCUGACGCUGAGGCGCGACAGCGUGGGGAGCAAAC
rnacentral:rRNA from 1 species